rnacentral:lncRNA from 1 species
CGGCGUUCGGUGCCUGCACUAGCCGUCGGGUUCAGAGUUCAUCUGCAGAGAUAAAAAUGAUGAGGAUGCCCGAGAGUGGGAUUGCCCCUGCUUUGGAUGGCCUGCGGUCCAGCGUGCUUCCUUGACCCUCCCCACCAGCUGUGUUCCGGGGCGGAGUCUGUGGAUGGAAGGCUUGGAGGGUGGAUCCCUCUGUUGGGCCUGCUUGCUUGAAUUUCCCUCAUCUGGACUGGUGGAUUCCUCAAGCCUCAUCCUGAUGCUAUGCCCCACCCUCACGACCCUGACCCUCGAAGGAAAAGGUGGAGAGAACCUGAGACUGUAGAAAGGAACGUGGAACACGGAGGACUCAUUGCCAUGCCCAGGAUACCCUCUGCACAGGGAACGUGGAGCUCCGGGAACCAGAGGCUACACCAGUAUCAGCCGCAUCCGUGCACACUUGUCUGCACUUGAGGCCUGGGGCAGCUACUGCGUGUGUGUGUGUUGGAGGGGGACGGAGGAUGUUGGAGAGAGAAAGCCUUCAAUCCCAUCAGGAGCUUCUGUCCGCGUUCACACGGAAGGAUCUGGGGGGCACUGAAGCACAUCCAUAAAUUUUAUUUGAAAAUACUGUGUAUGCAGUAUAAAUGCAGUGGGGAAAAAAGACUGGAAGAAAAUAUUCUGAAACGUUAACAGUGGUUAUGUCUUGCGGUGGGAUCAAGGAUUUUUAUACUUUCAUGUGUUUUCCAAAUUUUUUACACCGAACACGUGUUAG